rnacentral:rRNA from 1 species
AUUGAACGCUGGCGGCAGGCCUAACACAUGCAAGUCGAACGAGUGGCGGACGGGUGAGUCAUUUCUUGGACACUGCCUGAUGGAGGGGGAUAACUACUGGAAACGGUAGCUAAUACCGCAUACCAUGAGAUGUGCCCAGAUGGGUUUAGCUUGUUGGUGGGGUAACGGCUCACCAAGGCGACGAUCCCUAGCUGGUCUGAGAGGAUGACCAGCCACCAUGGAACUGAGACACGGUCCAGACUCCUACGGGAGGCAGCAGUAGGGAAUAUUGCACAAUGGGCGAAAGCCUGAUGCAGCAAUGCCGCGUGUAUGAAGAAGGCCUUCGGGUUGUAAAGUACUUUCAGCGGGGAAGCGUUACCCGCAGAAGAAGCACCGGCUAACUCCGUGCCAGCAGCCGCGGUAAUUC